rnacentral:rRNA from 1 species
UACGGAGGGAGCUAGCGUUGUUCGGAAUUACUGGGCGUAAAGCGCAGCGUAGGCGGCUUUGUGAAGAUUAGAGGUGAAAGCCCGGGGCUCAACCCCGGAAUUGCCUUUAAGACUGCAUCGCUUGAAUCCGGGAGAGGUGAGUGGAAUUCCGAGUGAUAGAGGUGAAAUUCGUAGAUAUUCGGAAGAACACCGGUGGCGAAGGCGGCUCUCUGGACCGAGACUGACGCUGAAGGCGCGGAAAGCGUGGGGAGCAAACAGG